rnacentral:rRNA from 1 species
ACACAUGCAAGUCGAGCGGUAGAGAAGGAGCUUGCUUCUUCUUGAGAGCGGCGGACGGGUGAGUAAUGCCUAGGAAUCUGCCUGGUAGUGGGGGACAACGUUUCGAAAGGAACGCUAAUACCGCAUACGUCCUACGGGAGAAAGUGGGGGAUCUUCGGACCUCACGCUAUCAGAUGAGCCUAGGUCGGAUUAGCUUGUAGGUGAGGUAAUGGCUCACCUAGGCAACGAUCCGUAACUGGUCUGAGAGGAUGAUCAGUCACACUGGAACUGAGACACGGUCCAGACUCCUACGGGAGGCAGCAGUGGGGAAUAUUGGACAAUGGGCGAAAGCCUGAUCCAGCCAUGCCGCGUGUGUGAAGAAGGUCUUCGGAUUGUAAAGCACUUUAAGUUGGGAGGAAGGGUUGUAGCUUAAUACGCUGCAACUUUGACGUUACCAACAGAAUAAGCACCGGCUAACUCUGUGCCAGCAGCCGCGGUAAUACAGAGGGUGCAAGCGUUAAUCGGAAUUACUGGGCGUAAAGCGCGCGUAGGCGGCUUGAUAAGAUGGGUGUGAAAUCCCCGGGCUUAACCUGGGAACUGCAUCCAUAACUGUCUGGCUAGAGUACAGUAGAGGGUGGUGGAAUUUCCUGUGUAGCGGUGAAAUGCGUAGAUAUAGGAAGGAACACCAGUGGCGAAGGCGACCACCUGGGACUGAUACUGACGCUGAGGGUGCGAAAGCGUGGGGAGCAAACAGGAUUAGAUACCCUG